AGAGAUCCAGGGAAGUGGCCUGGGAGGUAGGUCCCCAACUCUUCCUUCCCCCCGUCUUCACAGCCAUUUUCCAGGGAUGCCCAUUCCUGCUGGGGUAGCCAGCUGUGACCAGGUCAGUGUGGAAAGUGAGCCCUGGGAGACCUGAGGCCUGAGGCCCUGGGCUUCCGCUUGACCUGGCUGGGUCAGCCGUGGGAGGCAGAGCCUGGCUCUGUUUAUCCAGGCCGGACACUUCCGGAGCAGAUGGGCGCCUGUCAGAGCCACCAGCCAGGAACUGGGCUGACGUCCUCUCAUUGCCAAGUGGCAGUUCUGGGGCCAGCAUUGAACGCAAGGUGUCAGCAAGUCUCCUGCCAGAGGUCCUGACGGAGGGGCUGUUCCAGGCCAUGCUCCUGGCUUCCGGUGGUUGCCGGCAACCCUGUGCAUUCCCUGCUUGUAGAGAUGAGAAAAUGGAGGUACCAAAAAGUGGGCUCUGAACUGCAGAGCCUGGCUCCAGAGCCCUUGUAUUUGACUACUGGGAUCCACCGUUAUUCUCACAGCCGCGUUUCCCACAGGGCUGCUUUGUAUGGCCUCUUAGAAAAGUCCUGCCUGUCUCCACCAUCCAGGGCCUCAGCGGCACCUGUCCUGAGUCAGCAUCUCACAGAGGUUUUGCCAGCGCCAGCCACAUCUCCAGCAUGAAGGUGAUUGUCUGAGUGUGUCCAGUCCAGUUCCUGCCUUAAUAAAAAUCACUGCUGCAAGGGAGAGGGCUGCCAAGGCCCUGCCUCCCUCCAACCCCAUCCUAGCCUGAGUCUUAACCAUUCUUCCAAUCCAGUUCCACUUUGGGCCAGUGCUUAACCCAGGGUAGCACUUUUGAGCCUCGCAACUCUUGGGAGUGAGUUUUCAUCCUAACGUUCUCAGAUGAGGAAAUUGGGCCUCAAAGAGUCCACACAGGUGAGGCACCAUGGCUCAUGCCUAUAAUCCUAACACUUUGGGAGGCCAAGGCAGGAGGAAUGCUUGAGCCCAGGAGUUCAAGACCAGCCUGGGCAACAUGGUGACACCCUGUCUCUAUAAAAAAAUACAACAAUUAGGCAAACGUGGUGGCAUGCACCUGUCAUCCCAGCUACCUGGGAGGCUGAGGUGGGAGGAUUGCUUGAGCCCAGGAGGCUGAGGCUGCAGUGAGCCAUGAUCCUGCCAGUACACUCCAGCCUGGGUGACAGAACAAGACCCUGUCUCAAAAACAAAACAAAACAAAAACAAAAACAAAGCAUCCACACAACUAGCAGGUGAAAAACUGGGGUUCAAACUCAGGCCUAUAACACUAAGGGCUGGGCCUGUCCCCACCAAAUCAGUCUUUCCUCAGACAGGCUGAGGUGUCCUCUAUAGACCAAAUAUCUGGAGGUCAGAACACUGAGACACUAGUUAUGUAAAGGCAGGGUGUGAGUUGGUGAGCUCAUCGAGAAAAUGCUUCCUGGGCUGGGUGCAGUGGCUCACACCUGUAAUCCCAGCACUUUGGGAGGCUGAGGUGGACAGAUCACCUCAAGUCAGGAGUUCAAGACCAGCCUGGCCAACAUGCUGAAACUCUGUCUCUACUAAAAAAUACAAAAAUUUGCCAAGCGCAGUGGCACAUGCCUGUAAUACUAGCUCCUCGGGAGGCUGAGGCAGGAGAACCGCUUGAACCCAGGAGGCAGAGGUUGCAGUGAGCCAAGAUUGCACCACUGAACUCUAGCCUGGGUGACAGAGCAAAACUCUGUCUCAAAAAAAAAAAAAGAAAAGAGAAAAAAGAAAGAGAGAGAAAGAAAGAGAGAGAGAAAGAGAAAGAAA
rnacentral:lncRNA from 1 species